CAAUCAUACAUACCUGUACAAGGAAAGCCAUGUCAACUACCACUGCCGUAAUUACACCAAUUACAAGGCCCAAAACUCCAUUAGCAACAGUAGAAGAACAUGCCAACAUCAAUCUACAGAAAGAUGAACAAUGUUAAACCAUGUUAAUGGUAUUGAACAAGCUAUUUGAAAGCGAACACAUCCCAUGUACUAUAGAAAUUCGAAGAGCAUUUACUUCUAAGUACUUAGGACCGCGGAUAUAGUUACAAUCAACUGCUUUUCCUAAUAAACAAGGGGUGCUCCCAUCACUCUGGCGCACGAUCCAUGACCCCUGCAUGAUUCGGUGCUUAAAAUCAAGAACAAAUGCAAAACAAAUUCAAAUCAGUAGAAAAAGGAAAUGAAGUUUGAAGGUACAACCCAUUAAUACACUUACACUUAAAUGCAUGCCUUCAUUGUACAAAUUGAAGUGUACUAUGCAGCGGAGGGUACGUAUUAGUUAACAUAGUCCUAAUACAUGAAGACCAAGACGGAUACCUUAAGAACGGAUGGGAUAAGUUUCAGCCUACUAUUGCGAAAUUCAUCAUCGCCGUCAACAAACCAUUGCAAAAGGGAUCCUGUAAUUAAUUCCCUUGUAGAUGUAGAUGCUUACGUUACAACCAUACAACCUCCCAAAACGAUUAGUUUGAAACUUAAUACCUUCUGAAAUGAAACAAGCUUACUUGAAGAUUAAAGAUCAGUGAGAAAAGCCCUUUUUCAGAAGCAACCUACAUAUUUUAGAAUAGGGCUCAGAGUGUUAUAGAUUCAAUGAACCACCAGAAGUUAUUUACAUUGUAGUAUCUCAUAGGCAGUAUUUUCUUCUAAUCCGUCAAUGGAAAAGGAAAAAUAAAAAAGAAAAGAAUAGUUACUUGUGCAGCACAGCCUUGACGCCUAGCUACAUGGUCCAUUCUCUUUGUGUCUUUGAACUAAUCAACAGCAACAAGAUCCAUUAAAUGUUUUCCCACAUGUAUCUGCAGUUACAAAUUGCACAAAGAGCAAGAAGAACCAACCAAACUACAUCGUUACAUGUCGAACUAGAAUAUGUCGGAUAUAUAAAUACCAUAAGAAACAACUGAUAAGCCCUAAACUGAAACGGUUAGAUAAACAACACAGUAGAGAGCAGAAUGUUGUUGGAAGUAGGAAAACUGGUAUUUAUCUGCAGAAAUAAACCAAAACACCCAAGCAUUCGAAAGGCUUGGUAUCUCUCCCAAAAUGAACAAGCUCACUACGAAAUAAUUCUCUAGAUCCCCUUCCCAAAAAACAGCUCCUCUCCAUAUAACCUCCUCACUUCUACGCCCAAAUAGAAUAACAGAAAACUCUAACAAAUUAUCAAAACAGAAUACCAUCAACUUAUCACUAACAGAAAUGCAUAACAAACUCUUUUAUCUAUACUACUUGAUGACACGUCAGCCACGAUUGGUAUUUCUGGAAUUACCCUUGCGCCUUGCAUAUGUGAAACGCACUUGUGGCCUAACAUUACCAUCCGCCCAAACUUUCACCUUGUCCUCAAGGUGGAAAUCGGGAAAUUGUUGUUAGAUCAGAUGAAAAUCCUCCCAAGUUGCCUGAAACUCAGCCAAGGAUUUCCAUUGGAGCAGCACCUCCGCUUCACCGGAUUGACCAUUAACCUUACGACGAACUCCCAACAAUUUUUCAGGUUCCACCACGAGUUCAAGCUCAGGAGUCAACUGUGGGGGGAUGGUGGGGGAAAAAGAUGACACACCAAGUGCUGCCCUCAACUGCGAAACAUGAAAGACAGGGUGGAGUUUUGCUGUUUGAGGCAAUUUUAGUUUGUAUGCCACCUUCCAGAUACGCUGAAGAACCUUAAAUGGUCUACCAAGUCGUCCAAUAUGGCAUCACGAUCCUCCAUUAACUGUUCUACCAAAGAUACCGAAGCAGCUCCUUGCUCAUACCGAAUAAGAGGGGGUGGAUCCCUUCCAUAGAGAGCACGAAAUGGAGUACAACGUGUAGAAGAGUGGAAGGAAGUAUUAUACCAAUACUUAGCCCAUGCCAACCAGCGAGCCCAACUUCGAGGUUUUCCAGAAGCAAAGCAGCGUAGAUACGUUUCUAGACAACAGUUGACAACUUCUGUUUGUCCAUCAGAUUGUGGAUGAUAGGCGGUGCUUCGUUUGAGAGUAGUUCCCUGCAGCUUGAACAAUUCACUCCAAAAAUGGCUCAAGAAUAUCUUAUCUCGGUAAGAGAUAAUUGACUGUGGUAUCCCAUGAAGCCUAAAAAUUUCACGAACAAAGAUUCCAGCAACCGAAACAGCAGAAAAAAGGAUGUUUCAAUCCUAUGAAGUGAGCAUACUUACUCAGCCUGUCCACCACUACUAAGAUGGCAUCCCACCCUUUAGAACGAGGCAGCCCCUCAAUAAAAUCAAGUGUGACUUCCUACCAAACCUGGGCUGGUAGUGGAAUAGGUUGAAGUAACCCCGCAGGAGUAGUGGCCAAAUACUUAUUCUGCUGGCAGAUGGUGCAUUCCCGUACAAAUCUGGUGGCAUCCUUGCGCAUACCUAUCCAAUACAAUUCUGCUGCUAAGCGUUGGUAAGUUUUUGUUUCUCUCGAAUGUCCCCCAAUUGGAGUGGUGUGAAACUCUCCUAUGAGAGCAGAAAGAAGCUUAGUAGUCCGAGGAAUAACCAGCCGACUCUUGUAGAACAAUAAUCCAUGCUCAACUGAUAACCCCAUGUGAGAUUGUGUACCCGAAGUUAUGUCUUCCCUAAGUUUCUUCAGAAAGGUAUCCUUUGCCAACUCAACCUUUAAGGAAUCCCAAUGUUGCCACUGAGGAAUCGCCAAAGCUGAACACUUUGCUGAUUCUGUUAAGCGUGAGAGUGCAUCCGCUACUCAAUUACUUGCCCCACUACGAUAUUGAAUAUCAAAAUCAUAUCCCAUGAUUUUGGUGAUCCAUUUUUGAUAUUCAACUCCAACAAUCCUUUGCUCUAAAAGAAAUUUUAAGCUCUAUUGGUCUGUUCGCACAACGAAUCGCCUUCCCAACAAGUACGGCCGCCAUUUCAGGAUUGCAAACACUAUGACCAUUAGUUCUUUCUCAUAUAUGGACUUAAGACGAGCCUGGGGCCCCAAAACUUGGCUAUAGUAAGCUACUGACUGUUGCCCUUGUAGUAGAACAGCUCCUAACCCAAAACUAGAUGCAUCAGUCUUAACAAUAAAUGGCUUUGUGAAAUCAGGCAUUGCCAACACAGGGAUUGAAGACAUAGCUUGUUUGAGUUCUUCAAAUGUCGCUGCAGCUUCUAGACUCCACCCAAACCUAUCUUUCUUGAGCUGAUCAGUCAAUGGCGAUGCGAUUCUAGCAUACCCAGCCACGAACUUUCUAUAAUACCCCGUCAAUCCCAGAAAUCCCCUUAACGCUUUCAGAUUAGUGGGCGUUGGCCACGAGUUCAUGGCUUGGAUUUUACUUGGAUCCGCUGCCACCCCUUGUCCUGAGAUGAUAUGGCCUAAAUAUGCCACUUGAGUCCUUCCAAACUUGCAUUUUUUUCGGUUGGCAUAAUGGCUGUUGGCCUGCAAUAUUCCCAAGACGAGAGCCAGGUGCCGCUGAUGGGAUUCCACUGAAGGGCUGUAAAUUAGAAUGUCAUCGAAGAACACUAGAACAACCUUCCGAAGAUAAAGUCGGAAGACAUCAUUCAUCAAGGAUUGGAAAGUCGCCGGGGUAUUCGUUAGUCUGAAAGGCAUGACAAGAAACUUGUAGUGUCCAUCAUGCGUUUGAAAAGCAGUCUUAUGAACAUCCUGACUACUGACUCUGAUUUGAUGGUAGCCCGACUUUAAAUCUAGCUUGGAAAAAAUUCUAGCACCAUGUAACUCAUCUAGGAGUUCAUCAAUGACAUUGAUGGAAUACUUAUCUAGUACCGUCGCUUUGUUGAGAGCCCUGUAAUCCACACAAAAACGCCACGAUUCGUCUUUCUUUUUAACUAACAAAAUUGGGCUCAAGAAUGGACUAUUGCUGACUUGGAUUAUUCCCGCAUCUAACAUCUCUUGAAUCAGUCUUUCAAUCUCAUCCUUCUGGGCAUGAGGAUAGUGGUAUGGUCGGACACUAACAGGUUGAUUGCCGUCUUUGAGCAAAAUGGAAUGCUCAUGUCCCUUAGUAGGUGGUAAGCCCAUGGGCAUGUUAAAAACCAAUUCGUAUUCUGCUAGGACUUGGUUUAGAUUCGGUGGCACCUUAGGGCUCACUUCGCACAGACCUUCAAAUUGAUUACAUUCCACCAAAAUUCCAGCUCCCUCGUGCUUAAUGGUGCGCAUCAUUGCCUUUAAUGAAACUAAAGUCUUGCCAAGGGAAGGAUCCCCUCGUAGAGUAACAGAUUCAUUUCCGAGCAUGAACUUCAUCACCUGUGUCUUCCAAUUUGUGUGUGUCAUCCCCAAAGUUUCAAGCCACUGAACUCCUAAUAUAGCAUCCGAGCUCCCCAACCCAAGCGGCAAGAAUUCCUCUACAAUAUCUAUUCACUGUAGAUGAAUAGUCACUCCUCGACAUAAACCUUCUCCCCUUACAGCCACUCCAGUACCCAUAGUCACCCCAUAAGCCCCAGUUUUAACAAUGGGUAUCUGCAUCUUACUAACCAAAUCUAGAGAAAUAAAAUUGUGGGUCGCACCUGAAUCAAUCAGUAUCACCACCUCUUGCUCCCCGAUAGACCCUUUAAGCUUCAUCUUCUUUGGUGUAGUCAGACCAACCACUGAGUUAAGAGAGACCUUUACCCCUUGAUUAAUUUCGGCCGUUUCCAGUUCGGGAUCGCCUUCACCCGAACCUUCUUCCUCUUCCUACUCUGCUUCGUCCAUGCCGUAGGUGAGAAGGACAGUCAAUUCUUUCUUCUUGCAGCGAUGCCCAGGUGCCCACUUUUCAUCACAUCGAUAACAUAGUCCCUUCUCUCUUUUCUUCUGUAAUUCUGAAUUGGACAACCUCCUAACCUCUCCCGAAAAUCAGGCCGUGUUAUGAUUUGCCCUAAAUGAAGAUCGCGAAACUUCAGAAUGGAAGUUCACACCUCGCAUUGACCCUCCUGCUCGAUGAAACCCACCAUCUGCUUUGUGGGCCUUGGUCACCCGUAGUUUCUCCUCAAUCUUUUGGGCUAAGUCCAUGGCCCGGCCUAAAUUACUGGGUUCUAUGAUCCGAACCUCGAUCCGGAUUUCAGGCUUCAACCCGUUGAUAAAAUUUCCCAGAGCUAGUUCGUAUAUAAUGUUCUCCAAUGGCACCGAAAGUUCGAUGAAUUUCUGGCAGUAUUCUCACACACUGCUAUCUUGAGUAAGGGCUAGCCAUUAUUCAUGGAGAGAACUGGCUUGGAUUACUCGGAAUUGUUUCAAGAUUAGUACCCUCAUCUCUUCCCAAACCAUCAUGGAUCUCUUUCUAUUCUCCCAUUAAUACCACAACAGGGCAUCUCCCUCAAAAGCUAUUAUCGCCGCCUCAAGUUUUUCUUCAUUGGAUAACCGAUUUACGGAAAAAUAUCGUUCAGCCUUCAGAAUCCAGCCAUCCGAAUUUGAGCCAUCGAACAGUGGCAUCUCAAGUUUUCAGAUUCGAAAAUCAUGGCGAGUUCCGCCUGAGCUCGACCUACCGCCGAAGUUGGGGCUGAGCAUCUUUUCCCUUUUAUUCGAAUACGAACCUCCCGUAUCCUCCUGAAGUUUGAUGAACUGUUCGAAUCGUUUGUUCAUCGUCAGUAUUUCAUCCUUCAACGAUCCCAUUUCCCAUUGAAACUCCUCCUGCGCAGCACCAUCACCUCCUCCAUGGAAUCCAUUCGUUGAGCAACAUUUUGCCAGUCAUUUUCCAAGUACGUGAUUGCUUUGAUACCAAUUUGAUAAGCCUUGAACUGAAAUGGUUAGAUAAACAACACAGUAGAGAGCAUAAUGUUGUUGGAAGUAGGAAAACUGGUAUUUAUCUGCAGAAAUAAACCAAAAUACCCAAGCAUUCGAUAGGCUUGGUAUCUCUCCCAAAAUGAGCAAGCUCACUACAAAAUAAUUCUCUAGAUCCCCUUCCCAAAACACAACUCCUCUCCAUAUAACCUCCUCACUUCUACGCCCAAAUAGAAUCAUAGAAAACUCUAACAAAUUAUCAAAACAGAAUACCAUCAGCUUAUCACUAACAGAAAUGCAUAACAAACUCUUCUCUCUAUACUACUUGAUGACACGUUAGCCACAAUUGGUAUUUCCGGAAUUACCCUUGCGCCUUGCAUAUGUGAAACGCACUUGUGGCCUAACAACAACCAAAAUUGGCGGGAACCUUUGUUUUGUCAUAACAAAAAUGCUUGCUACAAACUCUGAAGUUAUUUCCAUCAGAAAGUGUCCAGCAGUCACAAGCAUUAUCACGGUCAUUGUGCUGCAGAUUGCUCGAAAAAAAUGAGAUAAAUCAAUUUGAUCACCCUGCUUUUCCUCUAGGGCUGCAACUAAUUGAAAAAAAAAAGAUUAAUUCCAUAGAAAUCCAUUAAAGAGGACAUUAACAAAAUAUAUAAAAAUGAAUAUUUAAGUUAUCAUCCACCUGUUCUCUUGAAGUCAUUCUCUUAAUCUCUUUUUUCAUUUGCCUGAAAUCCCAAAAAAUAUCUAACUAAGAACAAAAGUUAGAAAAGGUGUGCACACGCACACACACAUUGCAUUGGAGUUCGUGAAUUUUUAUCUUUUAGCUCAUUCUUUAUUUUAUUAAAAUGGUAGAUCCCUCGUUAAAAGGUGACUCUACAUACGUGUAUGUGUGUGUUCCCUAUAAAAGGACUGAAGAAAAUACAGUAACACGUAAAAAUAUGACUUAAAAUGGCGACCCAAUAGAAACAUAUUAACCCAUAACAGCGCAAAAUAAAAUGUGAAAGCAAGAAACUUACCAGCAAUGCUAUUUAACAUCUGAAGAAGACAGUGUUGCUAAACAUUGACACAUAACCAACACCCCACCCUUUUAGAUCAAUCUGCAUAAGAUGCUGUACUUGUGUUCUGGGCCUACCAUUUUGAGGUUUUAGUGGGGAAAUGUUGAAUCCACCACCUGAGAAAUCAGAAUACAGGAAGCAAGUGGUGCAACUUGGCAUGACUUAGCACUUGUUAAUUCUCUACAUCAACCAAAGUAAAGGACAGAAAACUAACUCUCCACGUGAGCUCGUACAUAUCCUGGCUGUGGACCACAGUUCUCAUGCUCCCUAGAAUGAAAUAACACAACUGCGUGAUAACAAAACACAGCUUAUGGAAACUUCUAGUGCCAGAAAAGAUAGAUUUAAUUUCAAGAAGUGGGGAAGCAAGAACCUUACCAUAACUCGCAGCGUCAUUUCAACGCCAAUAACGCACUUAACAAAGGCCGCGGGGCCAAACAAACCUGCAACCAAAUGAAUUCAUAAAUAUAAAUAAAUUCCGUAGAGGAAAGUAGGAAGAUUAUUUAAAUAAAAAUGAUAAAUUUCAGGGAAUUCCACUAUCCUCUGAAUAAAACAGAUAACCCAUGUGGUUUUAAAAUUCAUUAGACCCUUCCCCUGAACUUUUCAAAUUUGCCACAGAACUCCCCUAAAAUCCAUAUGAGACCUUUCUAGAGAAUUUUUUUGGAAUCAAGGAGAAGCUUUUAGACGAACUUCUAAACCAAACUAAGCCCUAUAUUUAAGUCAUAUUGAGGAAACAUAAGAAAAAAAAUUCCAGAAAAAGUAUCAGCUAAGAAUUAAAAUUAAAUUCAUCAAAAUGAUCUCAAUCACU
rnacentral:lncRNA from 1 species